rnacentral:rRNA from 1 species
ACGAGUGCCUCGAGCGUUAUCCGGAAUCAUUGGGCGUAAAGGGUGCGUAGGUGGCGGGGUAAGUCAGGUGCGAAAUCUCGGGGCUCAACUCCGAAACUGCACUUGAUACUGCCUUGCUCGAGUACUGGAGAGGAGAUUGGAAUUUACGGUGUAGCAGUGAAAUGCGUAGAUAUCGUAAGGAAGACCAGUGGCGAAGGCGAAUCUCUGGACAGUUACUGACACUGAGGCACGAAGGCCAGGGGAGCAAACGGGA